GAUGAACGCUGGCGGUAUGCCUAACACAUGCAAGUCGUACGAGAGUUUUUAACUCUAGUGGCGGACGGGUGAGUAACACGUGAGAAUUUGCCUUUAGGAGGGGGAUAACAAUUGGAAACGAAUGCUAAUACCCCAUAUGCUUUUGAGUGAAAUGGAUUUUAUCCGCCUAGAGAGAAGCUCGCGGCUGAUUAGCUUGUUGGUAAGGUAAGAGCUUACCAAGGCGACGAUCAGUAUCUGGUUUGAGAGGAUGAUCAGACACACUGGAACUGAGACACGGUCCAGACUCCUACGGGAGGCAGCAGUGGGGAAUAUUGCACAAUGGGCGCAAGCCUGAUGCAGCAACGCCGCGUGGGGGGAUGAAGGCCUUCGGGUUGUAACCUACUUUUUUCUAGGGUAGGAAUAAAAUGACGUGUACCUGAAGAAUAAGCAUCGGCUAACUCCGUG
rnacentral:rRNA from 1 species